rnacentral:rRNA from 1 species
GACGAACGCUGGCGGCGUGCUUAACACAUGCAAGUCGAACGGAAGGGCCCUGCUUUUGUGGGGUGCUCGAGUGGCGAACGGGUGAGUAACACGUGAGUAACCUGCCCUUGACUUUGGGAUAACUUCAGGAAACUGGGGCUAAUACCGGAUAGGAGCUCCUGCUGCAUGGUGGGGGUUGGAAAGUUUCGGCGGUUGGGGAUGGACUCGCGGCUUAUCAGCUUGUUGGUGGGGUAGUGGCUUACCAAGGCUUUGACGGGUAGCCGGCCUGAGAGGGUGACCGGCCACAUUGGGACUGAGAUACGGCCCAGACUCCUACGGGAGGCAGCAGUGGGGAAUAUUGCACAAUGGGCGGAAGCCUGAUGCAGCAACGCCGCGCGCGGGAUGACGGCCUUCGGGUUGUAAACCGCUUUCGCCUGUGACGAAGCGUGAGUGACGGUAAUGGGUAAAGAAGCACCGGCUAACUACGUG